rnacentral:rRNA from 1 species
CAGCCGCCACGGGAAUACGAAGGGGGCUAGCGUUGCUCGGAAUCACUGGGCGUAAAGGGUGCGUAGGCGGGUUUCUAAGUCAGGGGUGAAAUCCUGGAGCUCAACUCCAGAACUGCCCUUGAUACUGGAAGUCUUGAGUAUGGGAGAGGUGAGUGGAACUGCGAGUGUAGAGGUGAAAUUCGUAGAUAUUCGCAAGAACACCAGUGGCGAAGGCGGCUCACUGGCCCAUAACUGACGCUGAGGCACGAAAGCGUGGGGAGCAAACAGGAUUAGAGAUCCCCGUAGUCCCUGUCUCUUAUAC